UACGUAGGCAGCAAGCGUUGUUCGGAGUUACUGGGCGUAAAGGGUGCGUAGGCGGUUGUUUAAGUUUGGUGUGAAAUCUCCCGGCUCAACUGGGAGGGUGCGCCGAAUACUGAAUGACUAGAGUGCGGGAGAGGAUAGUGGAAUUCCUGGUGUAGCGGUGAAAUGCGUAGAUAUCAGGAGGAACACCGGUGGUGUAAACGGCUUUCUGGACCAUAAACUGACG
rnacentral:rRNA from 1 species